rnacentral:rRNA from 1 species
AACGAACGCUGGCGGCAGGCCUAACACAUGCAAGUCGAGCGAAGCCUUCGGGCUUAGCGGCGGACGGGUGAGUAACGCGUGGGAACGUGCCCUUUGGUACGGAAUAGCCCCGGGAAACUGGGAGUAAUACCGUAUGUGCCCUUCGGGGGAAAGAUUUAUGGCCAAAGGAUCGGCCCGAGUUGGAUUAGGUAGUUGGUGGGGUAAUGGCUUACCAAGCCGACGAUCCAUAGCUGGUUUGAGAGGAUGAUCAGCCACACUGGGACUGAGACACGGCGCAGACUUCUACGGGAGGCAGCAGUGGGGAAUCUUAGACAAUGGGGGAAACCCUGAUCUAGCCAUGCCGCGUGAUCGAUGAAGGCCUUAGGGUUGUAAAGAUCUUUCAGUGGGAAGAUAAUGACUGUACCCACAGAAGAAGCCCCGGCUAACUACGUGCCAGCCGCCGCCGUAAGAC